GUCAAGGUAAUGGCGAAGAUUUUUAGAGCAAUUUUUUUUCUUGUUGGUCGAAGCCCAUCUAAAAAAAUUGAGAUUACAUUGAAAAAUUAACAUAUUGAAACAUGCAAAUUAAAAAUAAUAGAUUUACAUGAAUAAAUUUAAACUUACAUUGAUGCAUAUGGGUGAGUUGGAACGACUGAAGUAAUUGGUGUUAUAAAUGGGAAUCGUGUAAAUCCCCAUGUUUGUAGCAGAAUAACACAUCCCCCCAUACCAUCAACAUCAACAUUAACUAUUUUACACAUUUCCCUAUAUAUAAAUGCU
rnacentral:lncRNA from 1 species